rnacentral:rRNA from 1 species
UACGUAGGGACCGAGCGUUGUCCGGAAUCAUUGGGCGUAAAGAGCGUGUAGGCGGCCACUUAAGUCCUGCGUGAAAUCUUGCGGCUCAACCGCAAGCGGUCGUGGGAAACUGGGUGGCUAGAGUGCGGGAGAGGAGAGUGGAAUUCCCGGUGUAGCGGUGAAAUGCGCAGAUAUCGGGAAGAACACCCGUGGCGAAGGCGGCUCUCUGGAACGCAACUGACGCUGAGACGCGAAAGCGUGGGGAGCAAACAGG